rnacentral:hammerhead_ribozyme from 1 species
AUCCAGUUGUCGAGUCCCAGAUAAAACGAAAUGCACGUCCUGGAU